CUUUUGCCUUCUAAUUCGUCUAAUCAGAAAGGGGGCAUAGGGUUUCAAUCUCUCUCUCUCUCUCUCUCUGAUGAUGAAGGCCGAAUGAAUUGCUGAGGGUUACUAGGCUCAACUCAUCUCCUCUUCGGCUGUGAAUCUGAAAUCAAAGGAAGGUUUCAAUCUCUCUCUGGACACCCCUUCUUCGUCUUGGUCUUCAUUUUCAUCUUCAUCUUCAUCUUCAUCUUGAACAGAACCAAAAAAUCCCUAUCUCUCUCUCACUCUCUGUUCUUCUUGAGCAGAACCAAAAAGCGCUACCCAGAAAACCCACUCUCUGUUCUUCUCACCCACGCUUCUCCUCAUUCCCUUACAUCCCUUACAACCGUUCGGAUUUCAAUUUACAACUCGCAAGGGGUAAGAUUUGUAUUCGGUCACUGUUGUACCGACGCUGUUUCCUUCGAGCUCGCAAGAUUCGACAAUUGGCACAAGAUAUCAGGGAGUUAACAGUAACCCGUCCCAUAACCAUUUUCAAUGGGAACUCUAACUCUACUUCCACUAAAGGUUAAAUAGUCAUGGGUAAGGGAUUCAAAGGCAAAUGAGUCAGGAGGAAAGGGAAAGGGAAAGGGAAAACAGGCAGUGUGAGGAAGUGAUGAUAGUGCUUCAAAAAGUAAAGGAAAAGGUGCAAAGACAGAUGGGCUUGGCACCUACACAUAUGUCAAAGCAAGGCAUAUCUUAUGUGAGAAGCAAGGGAAGAUUAAUGAAGCAUACAAGAAGCUACAAGAUUGCUAGAAAUGAAAUGGAGAUAAGGUUCCACCUGCUGAGUUCACAAAGCUAGCAGCGGAAUAUUCAGAGUGUCCAUCAGGUAAGAAUGGUGGAGACUUGGGAUGGUUUCCACGAGGCAAGAUGACUGGUCCAUUUCAGGAUGUUGCCUUUAGUACACUUGUUGGAGCUACCAGUGCACCAUUUAAAUCAACACCAGCUAUCUCUGUUAUGCUAUUGAUGGCACAUGUAUGGAUACCACAUUAUCUUGUCUGAAGGGAGGAAGAAUUGACAGAACUUGACAUUUGAAGUUAGGCUCUCUUGGAUUAUCAACCAUGAAAUCGAAGACUUUGGCUUGAUGUUGGCAUGGCAUUUAGAACAUAAUUGACUUGAUGAUGAUUCACCUUCUUAGAUAUUGAUGAGCCAAGAGAAGUCCGAACCCAGCCCCAGUGAAGUCUACGUGGAACAACAAAGGUUUUGGGAGAGUUAGCCCUUGUGUCUUACGCAUGAGACCUGUCUUCGUCCUUUUGUUAUGUAUUUAUAUUCUGUCAUGUUGGCGAAGACUUUGCAUCUGUUGUAUAUAGUCGUGAUGGGUUGACUUAGACUUAUAUGAUUCUGUAUGUAUAGAACCUUAUGUUGUACAUAUUUUGUUGUGAGUUAUUAAUAUGCAUAUGUACGGUUUGUUAUGAUGUGCCAUGUAAGCACAGCUCUAUAGACAAUGUUUUAAAUUGCUUUCGUUUGGCCCCCAUUAACUCUGUUAAAAUAUGUUUGGUUUGGUUCAAGGCCGUAGGUAAUCUCUUGAUUACUGGCCGGUUAUGUCCUUAACCCACAGGGACGGGUUCGGGUCAUGAAAAAAAUGGUCUUUGAUAUGCAAAUCAUUAACAUAUUAUUUGUUUUUCUAAGACAAGGAUAAAACUCUUGUAGAGUUGUUAGUUUUUUUUCUUUUAUCAACCUCUUACAGAAAAUUAGGUUUUGGAUUCAGUAGAGAUACAACAGUAUAUAUAUAUAUUUAUUUAUUUAUUUAUUAUGUAUAUUGUGGGACAGUGGUUUGGAAAUACUCUUUGGAUCUAAUAAGACGCUUGAGAUCCACAGCUAGUCACCUGAAAAGGAAUGAACAUUCCGGUCGGCGGUGUCGGAAUUAGCACUCCAACGGAUAAGUCAGUGUAUACUCUCUUAGUUGUUUGUAUUUUAAGUUAAGCUUGCUUUUUCUCAUAUACUUUUUUUUGACUGUUGUUCCUCUAUUUAUACUCGUUUCCUGGGCCUCUAGGCCUGGCCCACUUUUCUCCCAUUAUCCUCUUAUUUAUUCGGCUCCUCCCAUGAUGAAGCAAUUAUCACUCGGCUCCAUAAUCCAAUAACUAUUUGGCCUAUUUAUUAUAUUCGGCCUCCGGAUCAUACAGGAUAGGGCUGGAUAAUGUCUAUCUCCUAGGCCUCCAAGUGUAUACUCGGCUCAUCUGAUUUCGCUAUUAUUCAGCUCCCACAUAUAUGAAUAUAAAUUUAUAAUACAUUGAUAUGAGAGACAUUGAUGCAUAUGUGGGUAUAUUAUUAAUUUUACUAGUUUUUCCCUCUUUGACCCUAAAACAAAAUAUAAUAAUUAACAAAAUGUCUCCAAAAUGUCCAUGAACACAAAGGGCCAUUAAGACUUAAGAUGAGAUAGCAUCAAUUGUUUGUGAAUGUGGGAAAGACUAUAACACUGGUGUUUGGAGAUUGCUUGGUCAUGUUGCGAUUAAGAUAUUUGACUGGAUUGUUUAAGAGCAAUGGCUAAUAUAUUUUGAAGUUGGGGGUAUUCAGUAAAAUAUGCACAAUACUUUGUCACAUGAAACAAAAUCGACGAUUUAAUUAAAAACAAUGUGAGGGUGAUCCAAAAAUAGUGUCUCUUUUAGAUGCGGUUCUAAUCUUGCGUUAGAUCGUCAACAAGUGCUUUAAUCCUUUCAGAAAUCCAAAAGUAGUGUUAACAUUCUUGGCUAAUAUGCAUCAUAAUUUAGUGGGUGUCAUCCUUUAUGUUUUGAUGGCCAGAUAUCUUCCAUUUGAUGACAUAGACCGUCUAACCUUGUACAAAAAGGUUACUUGCUCUUAUUCUUUUACAUGCAAUUUUGCUUCUCUCUAGUUGAAUUAAUUUCAGUGUGUGAACACUUUGCCCAACUGAUCAUAGAAAAAAAAUAUUAUAUUUGACAGAUUGAGAUAAGUCUAGUUAUCUCCAUCCUAAAUGAAACCCACCUUAGCUUCCAUAACUAUUGCAUAAUCUUUCGUUGUUCUUUAACUUGUUCUUGAUCGUUAAUAAAUUAGAACAUGGUCAAAGCAAUUCUUUUCAACUUAGCAAGUAAAGUUCUGGACAAGCUAUUCUUUUCAAUUGGAGGAAGAGACAGUGCGAUUUACAUUAAAGAUUCACGUAUCACUGGCUUGCCAAGGUACUUGACCAUUCAAUUUGUGCGGUUUUUCUGGAAAAGGGAAUCAAAUUAGAAGGCCAAGAUUUUGUGGGUAACUUCAGUUUUCAACAUGCUUACAUUUUUUAAGGAGAAUGCAUCCCUGCACUGUACCCCUGUUUGCUGUGGCAUGGUUAGGUCCUACCUGGUGAAGUUGGGGGUCAAGCUCCCAGGAGGACAAAAACCUUGACACUAAGAGAAGUCCUUGGUAAAAGCUUAAAUGCUUGGAUAAUGGGUGGUCCAUUAAUCUAAGUUCAUGCAACUUGGGCCUGUGACCACCUCUCGGAUGCUUCAUUGUAAAAUAAUGUACUUUAUGUAUUCUUUGAAUUUGGCCAGGAAAACUUUGCAGAUAUUUUGAUCAUAUUUUUGUAUGCCCUUUUAAUGAUAUUCUUUUUGGACAGUUUUGAAGUUGAAGAUAAUUUUUGAUGUUUAGAAAUAUAGUUUUUGGAUGGUUUGGAAUGUACAGACAGUUUUUGGAUGUU